rnacentral:rRNA from 1 species
UACGGGGGGAGCAAGCGUUGUUCGGAUUUACUGGGCGUAAAGGGCGCGUAGGCGGCCACCGCAAGUCGACUGUGAAAUCUCCGGGCUUAACCCGGAAAGGUCAGCCGAUACUGCGGGGCUAGAGUGCAGAAGGGGCAACUGGAAUUCUCGGUGUAGCGGUGAAAUGCGUAGAUAUCGAGAGGAACACCUGCGGCGAAGGCGGGUUGCUGGGCUGACACUGACGCUGAUGCGCGAAAGCUAGGGGGGCAAACGGG